rnacentral:rRNA from 1 species
AUUGAUUUUAUGCUUGCAUAAAUGAUUUUUGGAUUCGGAGCGAGUGGCGAACUGGUGAGUAACACGUGGGUAACCUGCCCCGAAGCGGGGGAUAACAUUUGGAAACAAGUGCUAAUACCGCAUAAUUGGUUGGAACCGCAUGGUUCCAACUUGAAAGAUGGCUCUGCUAUCACUUUGGGAUGGACCCGCGCCGUAUUAGUUAGUUGGUGAGAUAAAAGCCCACCAAGACGAUGAUACGUAGCCGACCUGAGAGGGUAAUCGGCCACAUUGGGACUGAGACACGGCCCAGACUCCUACGGGAGGCAGCAGUAGGGAAUCUUCCACAAUGGACGAAAGUCUGAUGGGGCAACGCCGCGUGAGUGAUGAAGGUUUUCGGAUCGUAAAACUCUGUUGUUAAAGAAGAACAAGUGUUAGAGUAACUGUUAACACUUUGACGGUAUUUAACCAGAAAGCCACGGCUAACUACGUGCCAGCAGCCGCGGUAAUACGUAGGUGGCAAGCGUUGUCCGGAUUUAUUGGGCGUAAAGCGAGCGCAGGCGGUUUUGUAAGUCUGCUGUGAAAGCCCUCAGCUCAACUGAGGAAGUGCAGUGGAAACUACAAAACUUGAGUACAGAAGAGGAAAGUGGAACUCCAUGUGUAGCGGUGAAAUGCGUAGAUAUAUGGAAGAACACCAGUGGCGAAGGCGGCUUUCUGGUCUGUUACUGACGCUGAGGCUCGAAAGCAUGGGUAGCGAACAGGAUUAGAUACCCUGGUAGUCCAUGCCGUAAACGAUGAAUACUAGGUGUUGGAGGGUUUCCGCCCUUCAGUGCCGCAGCUAACGCAUUAAGUAUUCCGCCUGGGGAGUACGACCGCAAGGUUGAAACUCAAAGGAAUUGACGGGGGCCCGCACAAGUGGUGGAGCAUGUGGUUUAAUUCGAUGCUACGCGAAGAACCUUACCAGCUCUUGACAUCUUCUGCCAACCCAAGAGAUUGGGCGUUCCCUUCGGGGACAGAAUGACAGGUGGUGCAUGGUUGUCGUCAGCUCGUGUCGUGAGAUGUUGGGUUAAGUCCCGCAACGAGCGCAACCCUUAUUAUUAGUUGCCAGCAUUUAGUUGGGCACUCUAGUGAGACUGCCGGUGAUAAA